CCAAUAUGUAUUCCUCGUAUUUCAUAUAUAAAUCUACAUAAAAUUUAUAAUUUAUACAAACAUAUAACUCUAAAUAUUAUACAUAUCUAUGAUACGAACCGUAUAAUUUAUAUAAGCUUUUAUAUAACCUAUAAAUUAUAUUACGUGUGGAACAUUCACUUAAUAAACUGUAUAUUUAAUUAGUAAUGUUUGAUAAAGUGUUUUACUGAUAUUUUGUUUAAAUAAAUAUAUAAUUCUCAAAAUAGAAAUAUCUUUGAGAAUAUAAAAUUUAAUUUCACGCUUAAAACAUGCAUCCUUUUAUUUACUUAUAGGAAAACGAACGAGUCUAAAGCUUUCAUAUAUUAUAUGAGAAAGGAAUUUAGAAUUUUUCUAAAUUUGAUUCACUUAAAUCGGAACAUAAUAAUAUAAGUAGCUAUAAUUAGAUAUUUUUAUUAUAUAUAUGUGUAAGAAUACUUCUUCUUCUUUUGUAAAAAAAUAGAAUACUUCAUAUAUUUCCUAAAUAUUUUAACUCACUAUCAAUUCAUUUCUGUUAUUGAAGAUGAGGAAAUCCCUUCAACUUUUGUUCACCUUCUUAACUAUCUUCAUCGUUCUUUCACUAGGAAUGAUGGCAGAUGCGCAAAAAAAUGAAGCAAAAGAAUGUCCUUAUAAACUCCCAAUUGACAAAACCAAGCGUUGUGGUCCACUAAACUGUCUGAAUCUGUGUAAGAAGAAAUAUGGACCUACCGGUAGUGGCAGUUGUUCAGAGGAAAAAGGAUUUUGUAACUGCACAGCUCAUUGUAAGGGUUCUCGUUAAGUGUUGUGAAUAUAAUACGCAA